GACGAAGGAUGCAAGCGUUAUCCGGAUUCAUUGGGUUUAAAGGGUGCGUAGGCGGACUUGUAAGUCAGUGGUGAAAUCUCUCAGCUUAACUGAGAAACUGCCAUUGAUACUGCAGGUCUAGAGUAUAGAUGACGUUGGCGGAAUAUGACAUGUAGUGGUGAAAUACUUAGAUAUGUCAUAGAACACCGAUUGCGAAGGCAGCUAACGAAACUAUAACUGACGCUGAGGCACGAAGUGCGGGGAUCAAAACAGG
rnacentral:rRNA from 1 species